rnacentral:rRNA from 1 species
AUGUCCGGCGCUUCGGCUUCGUCACUGUGGUUCCACUACAUCGACCCUCGCAACUUCACCAUGGCUGCGGCCACGUCACCGUCCUCAUCGUCAUUGUCGCGCCGCGAUGGCCGCCCCUCGCUCGCGCUGCUGCACCGCGACGCCGUCUCCGGCAGGACCUACCCGUCGACGCGGCACGCCAUGCUUGGUCUCGCGGCAAGGGACGGCGCGCGGGCAGAGUACCUCCAGCGUCGCCUCUCGCCUACGACCAUGACGACGGAGGUGGGGUCGGAGGUUGUGUCGGGCAUCUCCGAGGGCAGCGGCGAGUACUUCGUCCGCGUCGGCGUGGGGUCGCCGCCCACGGAGCAGUACCUGGUCCUGGACUCCGGGAGCGACGUCAUCUGGGUGCAGUGCCGCCCCUGUGCCGAGUGCUACCAGCAGUCCGACCCUCUCUUCGACCCGGCCGCGUCGGCGUCCUUCACCGUCGUGCCGUGCGGCUCGGGCGUCUGCCGGACCCUGCCCGGCGGGUCAUCAGGCUGCGCCGACUCCGGAGCGUGCCGGUACCAGGUGUCCUACAGCGACGGGUCGUACACCCAGGGCGUGCUGGCGAUGGAGACGCUCACGUUUGGGGACAGCACGCCGGUGCAGGGCGUCGCAAUCGGCUGCGGCCACCGCAACCGCGGACUCUUCGUCGGGGCAGCCGGCCUGCUCGGCCUCGGCUGGGGCCCCAUGUCGCUCGUCGGGCAGCUCGGCGGCGCGGCAGGCGGCGCCUUCAGCUACUGCCUCGCCAGCCGCGGCGCCGACGCCGGCGCCGGGUCGCUCGUGCUCGGCCGGGACGACGCCAUGCCGGUGGGCGCCGUGUGGGUGCCCCUGCUGCGCAACGCGCAGGAGCCGAGCUUCUACUACGUGGGCUUGACGGGGCUGGGAGUCGGCGGCGAGAGGCUCCCGCUGCAGGACGGGCUCUUCGACCUCACCGAGGACGGCGGCGGCGGCGUGGUGAUGGACACCGGCACGGCCGUGACGCGGCUCCCGCCCGACGCCUACGCGGCGCUGCGCGACGCGUUCGCGGACGCCGUCGGCGGCGGCCUCCCGCGCUCGCCGGGCGUGUCGCUGCUGGACACGUGCUAUGACCUGAGUGGGUACGCGAGCGUGCGCGUGCCGACGGUGGCCCUCUACUUCGGGCGCGACGGCGCAGCGCUGACGUUGCCGGCGAGGAACCUGCUGGUGGAGAUGGGCGGCGGCGUGUACUGCCUGGCGUUCGCGGCGUCGGCGUCCGGGCUGUCCAUCCUCGGCAACAUACAGCAGCAAGGGAUCCAGAUCACCGUCGAUUCCGCCACUGGCUAUGUUGGCUUCGGACCAACUACGUGCUAG